GCAUCUAUAGCUCAGUGGAUAGAGCAGCUGACUCCGGAUCAGCAGGCCAAAGGUUCGACUCCUUUUAGAUGCG
rfam:Anaerosphaera sp. HMSC064C01 Anaerosphaera_spHMPREF2800-1.0_Cont2.1, whole genome shotgun sequence.